UGGACUAUUUGGUUGGUGUUUUAGUCCCU
rnacentral:piRNA from 1 species